rnacentral:misc_RNA from 1 species
GAACGCACCUUGCGCCCUUUGGCUAUUCUGAAGGGCAUGCCUGUUUGAGUAUCAUGAACACCUCAACUCUCGUGGCCCGCCACGAUGAGCUUGGACUUUGGGGGUCUUGCCGGCCUAGCGUCGGCUCCUCUCAAAUGGAUCAGCUUGCCAGUGUUUGGUGGCGUCACAGGUGUGAUAACUAUCUACGCUUGUGGUUUUCUACCAUGUAACCUUCAGUGAUGGAGGUUCGCUGGGGCUCACAGAUGUCUCUCCUUGGGGAGGACAGCUUUUUGAACGUUUGAUCUCAAAUCAGGUAGGACUACCCGCUGAACUUA